rnacentral:rRNA from 1 species
UACGUAGGUGGCAAGCGUUGUCCGGAUUUAUUGGGUUUAAAGGGUGCGUAGGCGGCCUUAUAAGUCAGUGCUGAAAUAUCCCGGCUUAACCGGGAGGGUGGCAUUGAUACUGCGGGGCUAGAGUACAGAUGAGGUAGGCGGAAUUGACGGUGUAGCGGUGAAAUGCUUAGAUAUCGUCAAGAACACCUAUAGCGAAGGCAGCUUACUAGGCUGUAACUGACGCUGAGGCACGAAAGUGUGGGGAUCAAACAGG